rnacentral:rRNA from 1 species
AUUGAACGCUGGCGGAAUGCUUUACACAUGCAAGUCGAGCGGCAGCACGGGGGUAACCCUGGUGGCGAGCGGCGAACGGGUGAGUAAUACAUCGGAACAUGCCCAGUCGUGGGGGAUAACACUUCGAAAGAAGUGCUAAUACCGCAUACGUCCUGAGGGAGAAAGCGGGGGAUCGCAAGACCUCGCGCGAUUGGAGUGGCCGAUGUCAGAUUAGCUAGUUGGUGGGGUAAAGGCCUACCAAGGCAACGAUCUGUAGCUGGUCUGAGAGGAUGAUCAGCCAAACUGGGACUGAGACACGGCCCAGACCCCUACGGGAGGCAGCAGUGGGGAAUUUUGGAAAAUGGGGGCAACCCUGACCCAGCCAUUCCGGGUGGGUGAAGAAGGCCUUCGGGUUGUAAAGCUCUUUCGGCAGGAACGAAACGGUGGGCUCUAACAUAGCUUGCUAAUGAGGGUACCUGAAAAAGAAGCACCGGCUAACUCCGG